UUGGAGGGCAAGUCUGGUGCCAGCAGCCGCGGUAAUUCCAGCUCCAAUAGCGUAUAUUAAAGUUGUUGCAGUUAAGAAGCUCGUAGUUGAACUUCGGGGUUCACCCAUUGGUCAGGCUUAAUUGUCUGUACUGGUGAGAUGAAUCUCUACCUUCUGAGGAACUUUCAUGCCAUUUAGUUGGUGUGAUAGGAAAUCAGGACUGUUACUUUGAAAAAAUUAGAGUGUUUAAAGCAGGCUAACGUCUGAAUACAUUAGCAUGGAAUAAUGAAAUAGGACGGAUUGGUUCUAUUUCGUUGGUUUCUAGGAUCACCGUAAUGAUUAAUAGGGAUAGUUGGGGGCAUUAGUAUUCAAUUGUCAGAGGUGAAAUUCUUGGAUUUAUUGAAGACUAACUAUUGCGAAAGCAUUUGCCAAGGAUGUUUUCAUUAAUCAAGAACGAAAGUUAGGGGAUCGAAGACGAUCAGAUACCGUCGUAGUCUUAACCAUAAACUAUGCCGACUAGGGAUCGGACGAAGUUAAUUUUAUAAUGACGCGUUCGGCGCCUUACGGGAAAC
rnacentral:rRNA from 1 species